CGCCGCCGCCCCCGCCACCCCCGCCCCCGCCGCCGCCGCUGCCGCCGCCACCUGCACCUCAGAAGCAGGAACCGAAGUUGUCGCCGCCGCCACUGCCUGGGUCUCCGGCCGCCCGCGCGCUGGCUCGGUCGGGGCCCGCAGCCAUGGAGGAUUUCAUCGUGAUCUCGGACGACAGCGGCUCUGAGAGCUCCGGGGGCGCCCGCCCGGGCCGGUCGCGGAGGCUGCGCCGGGCCCUGUCGCGAACCUCCGGCGCGCUGCCCCGCCGGACCGUGGACUUCAUUGACUUAACUAGAGAGACCAGACCAAGGACAAAAGAUCGCAGUGGACUGUAUGUGAUUGACCUGACAAGAGCUGAGGGAGAAAAUAGACCUAUUGCCACUCUUGACUUAACUUUAGAACCUGUCACUCCUUCCCAGAGGGAGCCAACCAGUCUUCAGACAUGUGCCAGCCUCUCUGGCAAAGCGGUGAUGGAAGGGCAGGUGGACAGAAGCUCUCAGCCUACAGCACGGAGACUCAUUAACAGUGACCCUGUAGAUUUGGACCUAGUGGAAGAAAACACCUUUGUAGGUCCCCCACCCGCUACAUCCAUCAGCGGAGGCUCUGUUUAUCCAACAGAGCCUAAUUGUAGCUCAGCCACAUUCACAGGGAACCUCAGCUUCUUGGCAAGCCUACAGCUGUCUUCAGAUGUUAGCUCCCUCUCCCCAACAAGCAAUAAUAGUAGCAGCAGCAGCAGCAGCAGCAAUCAAAAAGCACCCUUGCCAUGCCCACAGCAAGAUGUGUCUCGCCCACCACAAGCCUUGCCUUGCCCACUGAGAGCCUCACCUUGUCCACCACGAGCCUUGUCAUGCCCAUCACAAACCAUGCAGUGCCAACUACCAGCUCUAACUCACCCACCUCAAGAAGUGCCAUGCCCUCGGCAGAAUAUCCCAAGCCCACCUCAAGACUCGUUAUGGCAUCCUCAACACUCACCAAGCCCACCUCAAGACUCUCUGGGCCUACCUCAAGAUGUGCCAGGCCCGCCUCAAAGCAUAUUACAUCCACAAGAUGUGGCAUACCUGCAAGACAUGCCACAGUCACCAGGAGAUGUGCCACGGUCACCAGGAACCAUGCCACCAUCACCAGAUGUGCCACAGUCACCAGGAGACAUGCUAGGGCCACCAGGAGAUGUGCCACAGUCACCAAGUUAUGUUUCACCGUCACCAGAUGCACCACAGUCACCAGGGGGCAUGCCACACUUACCGGGAGAUGUGUUAUGUUCACCUGGAGACAUGCCACACUCAUCAGGGGACGUGACACACUCACCUAGAGACAUCCCUCACUUACCAGGAGACAGGCCUGACUUUACCCAGAAUGAUGUACAGAACCGUGACAUGCCUAUGGAUAUCUCAGCUCUGUCCUCUCCAAGCUGCUCUCCCAGCCCACAGUCUGAAACUCCCUUAGAGAAAGUUCCUUGGCUCUCUGUCAUGGAAACCCUAGCCAGAAAAGAAAUAUCACUGUCAGAGCCUGCCAAACCUGGGUCUGCCCACGUACAAUCACGAACACCACAAGGUGGGUUGUACGACAGACCAUGCCUGCAUAGACUGAAGUACUUCUUACGACCUCCGGUUCAUCACCUCUUCUUUCAGACGCUAAUACCGGAUAAAGACACAAGAGAGAACAAGGGUCAAAAAUUAGAACCCAUCCCUCAUCGAAGACUAAGAAUGGUAACAAAUACCAUUGAAGAGAAUUUUCCUCUGGGGACUGUGCAGUUUUUGAUGGACUUUGUGUCACCCCAGCAUUACCCACCAAGAGAAAUCGUGGCUCACAUCAUCCAGAAAAUCUUGCUCAGUGGCUCUGAGACUGUGGAUGUCCUAAAGGAGGCCUACAUGCUUCUCAUGAAAAUUCAACGGCUACAUCCAGCCAAUGCCAAGACAGUGGAGUGGGACUGGAAACUGCUCACCUAUGUCAUGGAGGAAGAGGUAACAACAAUUAUAAGAUUAUAUCUUCUGUAGGGGAAGUUUUAACUAUAAAGAAAAGUGAUACCAGGUGCCAUGGCUCACACCUGUAAUCCCAGCAUUUUCGGAGGCCAAGGCAGUAGGACAGUUUGAGCCCAGGAGUUUAAGGCCAGCCUGGGCAACAAAGUGAGACCCUGUCUCUACAAAAAUAAAAAUAAAAUAUUUAGCCAGGCAUAGUGAUGCAUGCCUGUGGUCCCAGCUACACAGAAGGCUGAGGCAGGAGGAUUGCUUGAGCCUAGGAGGUCAAGGCUAUAGUGAUCCAUGAUUACAACACUGUACUCCAGCCUCGGUGACAGAGCAAGACCCUGUCUUAAAAAAGAAAAGUGACAGUAAAUCUGGUAAUAAAGUCUAUACCAUUAUUCCCUCCUGAUACUCCCACCCCUGCCAAAAAAUUCCUAUUGAAAUGGUAUGUGCUAUCUUCCCAUUCAAGAUUUAGUAUAUUUACUUAUCCCUCUCCUUGAGAUCCCAUUAAAAAUAAUAGUAAAUGAAUAGAGAAAGUUAUAAAUUCAUGGCUAUGAAAAAAGGGGAAGGAUAGCAGAUUUGAAUGAAGAUUAGGGAGACCUACAGAGAAUGUAAGAGUGAUGACUGAUGAAGCUGGGCAGAGAAAGCCACAUACAUGUAAAGAGGCUACAGCCAAGGAAGGAUGAAUCUUCACUUUAGAGCACCAGAGAGGUCUUGGACUUAGAAACACAAUAUCUAAUAGAGGGCAAGAGUCAGAUGUGGGCUAUUGGAUAUUUAUUGAAAGUUUGUGAAUGCAACAGCCAACCUCUUCUUUGCUGAGGGCAGAAGGAUCAGUAGCCAGGUUACCUACCUUCAGGCAAAAAGUCAGAGAAUUUAUUGUCUAAAAAAGUUGAAUGAGGCCAGGCGUGAGCCACCACACCUGUCCUGGAGUGGGAGGCUGAGAUGGGAAUAUCACCUGAGGUCGGGAGUUCGAGGCCAGCUCAGCCAACAUGGUGAAACCCCAUCUCUACUAAAAAUAUAAACAUUAGCUGGGUGUGGUGGUGCAUGCCUGCAGUCUCAGCUACUCGGGCACAAGAAUUGCUUGAACCCAGAAGGUGGAGGUUGCAGUGAGCCAAAAUCAUGCCACUGCACUCCAGUUUGGGCAACAGAGCAAGACUCUGUCUCAAAAAAUAAAACAAGUUAUGGGUAUAUAGUAUAUAAAGAUCUAACUUAAGACAUUGAUAAUAUAAAUUGCAGUGGAGUAGUAAAGAAGUAGAGGUUUUUGUAUGCAACUGAAGUUGUUAAACUAGAUUGUUACAACUUUAAGACAUGUUAUGUGAUCUCAUUGGUAACUUCAAGUAAGAUAUCUAUAGAAUAUACCCAAAAGGAAAUGGGAAAGAAAUCAAAGUAUGUCACUAC